AAAUUUUGAAUAAAAUUUAGAGUCAGGACCACAUGGAGUGCGCGCACAACAAUGGAGGACCAAAAGGGAAAUUAUUCCUACCUUCCAAAACGCUACGCAGCAAGGGACUAAAUUGAAACAGACAUCAAAUAUGCGGUCCAAAUUUAAAAUAAGUGAAAAGGGUUUAAUUAGAGCGCGCUACAAAAAGGAAGGGCCAAAUGCGCAAUUUCCCCUUCGAAGCCCAGACGCACGGAUCCUUCCCUUCGGGUCGGGUCACCGCGCGGGUCAGAGUUGGGGAAUACGGCACCGUUUUGCGCACUACUUAAAUGCCCAUUCUGAAGCCCUAAACUCCAUCAGUUUUUCCCCUUAGCCGACUCUAGGAAACCCCAAAUCCCUUCUCUACACCACCGUUACCAAACGACGCAAAUGCUUCAAAUCCGGCGCCGAAAUCGACUUGGAUUCAGGCGAAGGAGUCGCAGAUCUCGACGGCGUAUCCUUGAAGGACUCUUUGAGUCCAUUUUUGCAGGAAACCGUGAAGCAAAUGGCGCGGGGGAAGGCCGAGACAUGCGGCGAUUGGGCGUCUGCUGGAGACUGCUGGGGCUUGCGGCGACGCUCCUUGCUGUUUAGGGUUAGGGUUCUUUGUGUUUUUUUUUUAUUUUGUUGAGUUGGGCUAGGCUAAUUUGGGUCCGGGAUGUUUUGGUGUAUUGGGCUUGUGUGCUGCUAGAUUUAGGGGUUAUUGGGCCACUUUCUUUUUGUGUUUAAACCCAGGCCGAUUGGGCCUUAUUACAAUUAGGUUUAUUUAAAAUAAAAAUAUUAAAUUUAAAUUAAAAAUAGAAAGUUAUAAUAUUAAAAAAUACUUUUGACA